rnacentral:rRNA from 1 species
ACGGUCCUAAGGUAGCGAAAUUCCUUGUCGGGUAAGUUCCGACCUGCACGAAUGGCAUAACGAUGGCCACACUGUCUCCUCCCGAGACUCAGUGAAGUUGAAAUGUUUGUGAUGAUGCAAUCUACCCGCGGCUAGACGGAAAGACCCCGUGAACCUUUACUGCAGCUUUGCAUUGAACUGUGAACCGAUUUGUGUAGGAUAGGUGGGAGGCAGAGAAGAGGCCACGCCAGUGGUCUUGGAGCCGACCUUGAAAUACCACCCUGAUUUGUUUGCGGUUCUAACCACGGACAGUGAUCCUGUCUUGGGACCGUGCAUGGUAGGCAGUUUGACUGGGGCGGUCUCCUCCUAAAGGGUAACGGAGGAGUACGAAGGUACGCUAGGUACGGUCGGAAAUCGUGCUGAUAGUGCAAUGGCAAAAGCGUGCUUGACUGCGAGAGCAACAACUCGAGCAGAUGCGAAAGCAGGUCAUAGUGAUCCGGUGGCUCUGAAUGGAAGGGCCAUCGCUCAACGGAUAAAAGGUACUCUGGGGAUAACAGGCUGAUACCGCCCAAGAGUUCAUAUCGACGGCGGUGUUUGGCACCUCGAUGUCGGCUCAUCGCAUCCUGGGGCUGUAGUCGGUCCCAAGGGUAUGGCUGUUCGCCAUUUAAAGAGGUACGUGAGCUGGGUUUAAAACGUCGUGAGACAGUUUGGUCCCUAUCUGCCGUGGGCGUUGGAAGAUUGACGGGGGCUGCUCCUAGUACGAGAGGACCGGAGUGGACGCACCUCUGGUGUACCGGUUGUCACGCCAGUGGCAUUGCCGGGUAGCUAAGUGCGGAAGAGAUAACCGCUGAAAGCAUCUAAGCGGGAAACUUGCCUGAAGAUGAGUCUUCCCGGAGGUUGAACCUCCCUCAAGAGUCGUCCGAGACCAGGACGUCGAUAGGUCAGGUGUGUAAGCGCUGUAAGGCGUUGAGCUAACUGAUACUAAUUGCUCGUGAGGCUUGAUCCU